rnacentral:rRNA from 1 species
UACGGAGGGUGCUAGCGUUGUUCGGAAUUAUUGGGCGUAAAGCGCACGUAGGCGGUUUUUCAAGUCUGAGGUGAAAGCCCGGAGCUUAACUCCGGAAUUGCCUUUGAAACUAGAGGACUUGAACGUCGGAGAGGUGAGUGGAAUUCCGAGUGUAGAGGUGAAAUUCGUAGAUAUUCGGAAGAACACCAGUGGCGAAGGCGGCUCACUGGACGACUGUUGACGCUGAGGUGCGAAAGCGUGGGGAGCAAACAGG